CUCAAAUCACCCUCACUUCUCUCUAAAUUCUCUCUCUAAGUCAACCUCCAUUGAAGAGCAUUGGAAGCUUGGAGAAGAAGGUCAAGUUCUCAAUUUUUCUUCUCAAAUUCUUGGAUAAAGUAUUCAUUAAGGAUUAUGGGACUUCACAUGAGCAUUGCACUUGUAUGUUUGGGAUGAGAUUGUUGGUUCGAGUUGUUGAGGUAUCAAGGUUGAUUGCAAAAAGACUUAGACUUUUCCCCAAGUUUUGGUAUGUCCUCUAGUUCGAGGAUGUGCCAAGUACUGUACCUUAAUAGUAUUGUUAUAGUCUAAAGACGUUCAUUUCUCUCAUAUUGUUGAAGAUAUUGUUGUAAGCCCUACGUGGCAAUUAUGAAUUUGUAUUAAGGGCUAUGCCCGAAUGUUCUACUUCAUUUUAUAUGGUUUAAUGUGAGACUGUAUUAUUAGACUAAA